rnacentral:rRNA from 1 species
GCAUAACGCGAAGAACCUUACCAAGGCUUGACAUCCCCUUGACCGGCACAGAGAUGUGCCCUCUCCCUCGGGAGCAAGGGUGACAGGUGGUGCAUGGUUGUCGUCAGCUCGUGUCGUGAGAUGUUGGGUUAAGUCCCGCAACGAGCGCAACCCUUAUCCUUAGUUGCCAGCAUUUAAGGUGGGCACUCUAAGGAGACUGCCGAUGAUAAAUCGGAGGAAGGUGGGGAUGACGUCAAAUCACCAUGCCCCUUAUGUCUUGGACUACACACGUGCUACAAUGGUCGGUACAAAGGGGAGCGAAGGAGUGAUCUGGAGCAAAUCCCAAUAAACCGAUCUCAGUUCGGAUUGUAGGCUGAAACCCGCCUACAUGAAGUCGGAGUUGCUAGUAAUCGCGAAUCAGCAUGUCGCGGUGAAUACGUUCCCGGGUCUUGUACACACCG